rnacentral:rRNA from 1 species
UGGGGAAUAUUGGACAAUGGGCGAAAGCCUGAUCCAGCCAUGCCGCGUGUGUGAAGAAGGUCUUCGGAUUGUAAAGCACUUUAAGCUGGGAGGAAGGGCAGUAAGCGAAUACCUUGCUGUUUUGACGUUACCGACAGAAUAAGCACCGGCUAACUCUGUGCCAGCAGCCGCGGUAAUACAGAGGGUGCAAGCGUUAAUCGGAAUUACUGGGCGUAAAGCGCGCGUAGGUGGUUCGUUAAGUUGAAUGUGAAAGCCCCGGGCUCAACCUGGGAACUGCAUCCAAAACUGGCGAGCUAGAGUAGGGCAGAGGGUGGUGGAAUUUCCUGCGUAGCGGUGAAAUGCGUAGAUAUAGGACGGAACACCAGUGGCGAAGGCGACAACCUGGGCUCAUACUGACACUGAGGUGCGAAAGCGUCGGGAGCAAACAGG